GGAGUAUGGUGCAGCCAAGGAUGACUUGCCGACGCUCCUUGCGAAUUCGCGCUUGCGACUCGCGCUAGAGAUGAUUCUUAAGAAAGAUUUCGGCAAGUUGUCCUUGGCUACAUAAUGCUUCCU
rfam:Ananas comosus cultivar MD2 ACMD2_Scaffold_1888, whole genome shotgun sequence.